rnacentral:rRNA from 1 species
UACGUAGGGGGCAAGCGUUAUCCGGAUUUACUGGGUGUAAAGGGAGCGUAGGCGGCGAUGCAAGCCAGAUGUGAAAGCCCGGGGCUCAACCCCGGGACUGCAUUUGGAACUGUGUGGCUGGAGUGUCGGAGAGGCAAGUGGAAUUCCUAGUGUAGCGGUGAAAUGCGUAGAUAUUAGGAGGAACACCAGUGGCGAAGGCGGCUUGCUGGACGAUGACUGACGUUGAGGCUCGAAAGCGUGGGGAGCAAACAGG